UUCUCCUUCUUCAUUUUCAGUUUCAGUUUUAGCCUCAUUUUCAUUUUUCAGUUCCUUGUCACACGGAUUGCUGCAUCUCUUCUUCUUUCAUUUGCUUCUUCUCUUGCCGUGCAUCAUCUCCUUCUUCCUCCUCAUUUUAUUUUCUGGUUUCUCUUCACUCGGCAGUUCUUGGUUGUGCCGAAAUCUGUGGCUUGUUCUUUCAGCUGAUUUUGAUGUAGAGGACGUGGAGGCUGAAUCCAAGGAGGUGGCUUUGCCGGAUGAGUGAUCAGGGAUCACUCGUGGAUUAUGAUAUAUUUCUAAUUUUUGUUUAUUAUUUUAAUUUGUAUUAUAUUUAUAUUGGUUAAUUGUAAUAUUUUUGAUACGCUUGUUUUAAGCGAAUUUGUAUUUAAAAAAAGUUCUAGUAUUUAAUUGAAAGACUUUUUAUUA